AAAAUCCGGGAUCACUUACGCCGAGCACCGAGACGAGUCCUAUGAGGACGAAGUGACUGACACCACGCUUCCAGGAAAAGCCACUAAGCUUCAGCUUAAGAAAAACCGUACCGCAAACCGACACAGGUAGGCAGGGUGAGAAUCCCAAGGCGCUUGAGAGAACUCGGGUGAAGGAACUAGGCAAAAUGGCACCGUAACUUCGGGAGAAGGUGCGCCCUUUGGUGUGGUCACGUGCGUGACUGAGCAUCGAAGGGUCGCAGUAACCUGGCCGCUGCGACUGUUUAUCAAAAACACAGCACUCUGCAAACACGAAAGUGGACGUAUAGGGUGUGACGCCUGCCCGGUGCUGGAAGGUUAAUUGAUGGGGUCAGCCGCAAGGCGAAGCUCUUGAUCGAAGCCCCAGUAAACGGCGGCCGUAACUAUAACGGUCCUAAGGUAGCGAAAUUCCUUGUCGGGUAAGUUCCGACCUGCACGAAUGGCGUAACAACAGCGGCGCUGUCUCCACCCGAGACUCAGUGAAAUUGAAAUCGCUGUGAAGAUGCAGCGUUCCCGCGGCAAGACGGAAAGACCCCGUGAACCUUUACUAUAGCUUUACACUGAACGUUGAGUUCUUCUGUGUAGGAUAGGUGGGAGGCUAUGAAACCAGGACGCUAGUUCUGGUGGAGCCAUCCUUGAAAUACCACCCUGAAGUGCUUGACGUUCUAACCUAGGCCCGUAAUCCGGGUCAGGGACCGUGUAUGGUGGGUAGUUUGACUGGGGCGGUCUCCUCCCAAAGAGUAACGGAGGAGCACGAAGGUACGCUCAGCGCGGUCGGACAUCGCGCACUGUGUGCAAAGGCAUAAGCGUGCUUGACUGCGAGAUCGACGGAUCAAGCAGGUACGAAAGUAGGUCUUAGUGAUCCGGUGGUUCUGUAUGGAAGGGCCAUCGCUCAACGGAUAAAAGGUACUCCGGGGAUAACAGGCUGAUACCGCCCAAGAGUUCAUAUCGACGGCGGUGUUUGGCACCUCGAUGUCGGCUCAUCACAUCCUGGGGCUGUAGCCGGUCCCAAGGGUAUGGCUGUUCGCCAUUUAAAGUGGUACGCGAGCUGGGUUCAGAACGUCGUGAGACAGUUCGGUCCCUAUCUGUCGUGGGCGUUGGAGAUUUGAGGGGGGCUGCUCCUAGUACGAGAGGACCGGAGUGGACGUUCCGCUGGUGUUCGGGUUGUCAUGCCCAUGGCAUUGCCCGGUAGCUACGAACGGAAGUGAUAACCGCUGAAAGCAUCUAAGCGGGAAGCACGCCCCAAGAUGAGAUCUCCCGAGAGCUUGACUCUCCUAAAGGCACCAUCAAGACUAGGUGGUUGAUAGGUCAGGUGUGGAAGCGCAGCAAUGCGUUGAGCUAACUGAUACUAAUGAGCCGUUAGGCUUGACU
rnacentral:rRNA from 1 species